UACGUAGGGUGCAAGCGUUGUCCGGAAUUAUUGGGCGUAAAGAGCUCGUAGGCGGCUUAGUAAGUCGGGUGUGAAACCUCCAGGCUCAACCUGGAGACGCCACCCGAUACUGCUGUGGCUAGAGUCCGGUAGGGGAGCGUGGAAUUCCUGGUGUAGCGGUGAAAUGCGCAGAUAUCAGGAGGAGCACCAGCGGCGAAGGCGGCGCUCUGGGCCGGUACUGACGCUGAGGAGCGAAAGCGUGGGGAGCAAACAGG
rnacentral:rRNA from 1 species